rnacentral:misc_RNA from 1 species
UUUCCGUAGGUGAACCUGCGGAAGGAUCAUUACUGAGUGAGGGCCCUCUGGGUCCAAUCUCCCACCCGUGUUUAUGGUACCUUGUUGCUUCGGUCAGCCCGCCUCACUGCCGCCGCGGGGCCUCUGCCCCCGGCCCCGCGAUCGCCGACGUCACCCCUGAACUCUGUCUUAAGUUUCCAGUCCGAGCGAAAACAAAAUAAGCUAAAACUUUCAACAACGGAUUUCUUUGUUUCGGGAUCGCAGAAGAACGCAGCAGCACCGAAGUGCACCCCUCUGACC